rnacentral:rRNA from 1 species
GACGAACGCUGGCGGCGUGCCUAAUACAUGCAAGUCGAACGCAGUGGGGACGGGUGAGUAACACGUGGGUAACCUCCCAUCAGAGGGGAUAACACUUGGAAACAGGUGCUAAACCGAUAUUGAUGGAUGGACCCGCGGUGCAUUAGCUAGUUGGUGAGGUAACGGCUCACCAAGGCCACGAUGCAUAGCCGCACUGAGCGGGUGUUCGUGCACACGUGUACGUAGAAACUGCCUAGACGCCGACGGUAGGCAGCAUGAGGGAAUCGUCGGCAAUGGACGACAUUCUGACCGAGCAAUGCCGCGUGAGUGAAGAAGGUUUUCGGAUCUGAAAACUCUUUUGUGAGAGAAGCGGUAUCUAACCAGAAAGCCACGGCUAACUACGUGCCAGCAGCCGCGGUAAUAC